rnacentral:rRNA from 1 species
GACGUAGGUGGCGAGCGUUGUUCGGAAUCACUGGGCAUAAAGCGUGCGUAGGCGGCUCGAUAAGUCCGGUGUGAAACCUUGGGGCUCAACCCCAAGCCUGCACUGGAUACUGCCGAGCUAGAGUCCGGGAGGGGAGAGUGGAAUUCCUGGUGUAGCGGUGAAAUGCGCAGAUAUCAGGAAGAACACCCGUGGCGAAGGCGGCUCUCUGGGACGGUACUGACGCUGAGACGCGAAAGCGUGGGGAGCAAACAGG